rnacentral:misc_RNA from 1 species
UUUCCGUAGGUGAACCUGCGGAAGGAUCAUUAUUGUGUAACCGAGGUGCGAGGGCUGUCGCUGACCCGAAAGGUCGUGCACGCCCGAGUGCCCUCACACACAUCCAUCUCACCCCUAUGUGCACCACCGCGUGGGUCCCCCUUUGGCUUGUUCGGAGGGGGGCUUACGUUUUCACACAAACUCUGUAUGCAGUGUAGAAUGUAUUUUUUGUUUUUGCGAUCACGCAAUCAAUACAACUUUCAACAACGGAUCUCUUGGCUCUC